GGGGCUGUGGCUCAGUGGUAGAAGCUCCGUUUGGCCUACGGAAGGUCCCAGGUUCAAUUCCUGGCAUCUCCA
rnacentral:tRNA from 1 species